GGGUAUAGCUCAGUGGUAGAGCACAUGCUUAGUAUGCAUGAGGUCCUGGGUUCAAUCCCCAGUACCUCCA
rnacentral:tRNA from 1 species